rnacentral:misc_RNA from 1 species
GUGAAUCAUCAAAUCUUUGAACGCAUAUUGCACUAUCCAGUAUUCCGGAGAGUAUGCCUAUUCGAGGGUCAUUUGAAAUAAUAUAAAUUACGAGAUUUUGUUGUAAUCAACAAUGGGUGGGUCAAGCUUUCGUGUGGUGGUCGCCUAAAAUGCUAGACAAGAUCAUUUCUUGGGUUGCGUGAUAGUUUCUGUUACCUCGUGACUUCCUUGGAAAUCUUCGAGAGUGUUAAGAUGUGUGCAAGAAAUAAACUUCAUUAAUCUCGAUCUCAAU